AAUAAAUUAUUAUAUCAUAAACA
rnacentral:snRNA from 1 species